UGAGUUUGAUUCUGGCUCAGGAUGAACGCUGGCGGCGUGCUUAACACGUGCAAGUCGAACGAACCUUCGGGUUAGUGGCGGACGGGUGAGUAACGCGUGAGAAUCUGCCCUCAGGAGGGGGACAACAGCUGGAAACGGCUGCUAAUACCCCAUAUGCCGCGAGGUGAAAUGAAUUUCGCCUGAGGAUGAGCUCGCGUCUGAUUAGCUAGUUGGUGUAGGUAAUGGCUCACCAAGGCAUCGAUCAGUAGCUGGUCUGAGAGGAUGAUCAGCCACACUGGGACUGAGACACGGCCCAGNCUCCUACGGGAGGCAGCAGUGGGGAAUUUUCCGCAAUGGGCGAAAGCCUGACGGAGCAACGCCGCGUGAGGGAUGAAGGCCUCUGGGCUGUAAACCUCUUUUAUCAAGGAAGAAGAUCUGACGGUACUUGAUGAAUAAGCCACGGCUAAUUCCGUGCCAGCAGCCGCGGUAAUACGGGAGUGGCAAGCGUUAUCCGGAAUUAUUGGGCGUAAAGCGUCCGCAGGCGGCCCUUCAAGUCUGCUGUUAAAAAGUGGAGCUUAACUCCAUCAUGGCAGU
rnacentral:rRNA from 1 species